UUUGUUAUUUUCUUUAUGUCAUUAUUAGUUCCAUGUGAUUCUUUAUUGAAGCGUACACCAUUCACAGCUUUUGUUAUUGUGGGUUUUCUUUGAUGUAAUUAUUCGUUGUACCCAUUUAGGUUCUUGUUGAUUUGGCUCCGUUUUUUGUGAUUUAUCUGUUCAUCCUUCGUAAUUUUGUUACAUUUGUGGUGUUUAUGUUAUUUGCUAAACCUCAUUUUGCCUGUUCAUCUGUUUAAAUUCAGAUAUUAUCUAUCUGAAGUAUUUUGUUACAUUUGCAGAUAAUACCUUUACUGAAUUACUGUAUUAGCAUUAAUUUGGUUUUGUUUUGAGUAAUUUAUUGUGGCCAUUAAUUACCCCUACGUUAUUAUACAGAUCAAAUUGGGUUUAGAAACUUUGUUUUGGUUUUAGACGCACCUUACUUUUGUUUGGAUUUUCCCCUCAUUAUUGCAGAAACAAGUUAUAG
rnacentral:lncRNA from 1 species